rnacentral:rRNA from 1 species
CACCAGCCCCUCGAGUGGUGGGGAUGAUUAUUUGGCCUAAAGCGUCCGUAGCCGGCUAGGUAAGUUUCCCGUUAAAUCCAGCGUCUCAAGCGUUGGACUGCGGGAAAUACUGUCUGGCUAGAGAGUGGGAGAGGUGUACGGUAUUCUGGGGGUAGGGGCGAAAUCCUUUGAUCCCCGGAGGACCACCAGUGGCGAAGGCUGUGCACUAGAACACGUCUGACGGUCAGGGACGAAAGCUGGGGUAGCGAACCGGAUUAGAUACCCGGGUAGUCCCAGCUGUAAACGAUGCAUGCUAGGUGUUGGGUUGGCCACGAGCCACCCCAGUGCCGCAGGGAAGCCGUUAAGCAUGCCGCCUGGGAAGUACGAUCGCAAGAUUGAAACUUAAGGAAUUGGCGGGGGAGCACCACCAGGUGUGAAGCCUGCGGUUU